AAGAGUCAAGCACAUUAUUCAGGCGACACUGUAGAGAUGAACUCUUCUCCAGGCUUAGUGACUGUGGUACUCUUAAUGCUCGGACGAGCCCGUGGAGACUCAGUGAUGCAGACGGAAGGCCCAGUGACCCUUUCAGAAUCAGCUGCCCUGACUAUGAACUGCAAUUAUUCAGCUGCGAGGUACCCCACUCUUUUCUGGUACGUCCAGUACCCCGGAGAAGGUCCACAGCUCCUCCUGAAAGCCUCAAGGGACAAGGAGAAGGUACUCAAGAAAGGUUUUGAAGCCACGUACCACAGAGAACCAAGUUCCUUCCACUUGGAGAAAGCCUCAGUCCAAGGGGCAGACUCGGCUGUGUACUACUGUGCUCUGAGUGACACAGUGACAGGAGCUGCAGGGGGAGCUGAGCACAAACUCUGAGCAGCAGGCGGGGCCUGGGUGCUGAGUGUCUCUGACUGUUUGAUCGUCUCUGGUUCCAGCACAGUCUGUGGUGGUUUGUCCCUCAGUCUCCGGUUGACACAAAGAUCACACCAAUGGCUAGAGCAUAAGAAGAGGAAGUAACCCUGCCCCUUUCCCAACUCGUCAUAAGUGAAAUUCUAAACAGUCUGACACCAAUAGUCCCUCAUCCAGGGCCAAGUUAAUUUCAAGUAGAACCGCAUAAAC